ACCAAUUCCGAGGGAAGAAUACAAUCCAUUGCCCUUGGUAUAAUGGCUUGGGUGCGAUAUUUGUUUUUUGUGGUUAUUAUCCUGAUCGAUGAUAUUUUUUCAUGUCAUUAGAUCUUGGAAAGGCCUCAUACAUAU
rnacentral:snoRNA from 1 species